GCUAAACUCUUCUCACUCUCUCUGGUGGACUACUCUUCAACACAUCGCAUUCCGUUUUACCAUACCUCUCUUGACUGCAAGAAUGUUGUCAUUGUUCCCAUUCUCACGAAUCAUGUUAAGGUACGCUCUUCUUCAAAUCCCAAAUUCUGUUCCUCAUUCCGCUCUCGGUCUUUGCUUCCCUUCAACUUCAUCCCUACACUCUCACUCACUCUCAGCCCCAAUCGCUUGACGAAGCUGUUGAUUCCUUCACUCGCAUGCUCUUUAUGUGUCGCCCUCCAUCCAUCCUUCAAUUCCCCAAGAUUUUGGGAUCUCUUGCCAAGACCAACCAUUGCCCCACCGCCAUUUCCCUUUUUCAGCAAUUGCAAUCCAGGAUGCAAAGAAGAUGGAGAAGAAAAGAGAGAUUGUGGAGCUGUAUAGGGAGAGGCUGGACAACACUCUUGCCUCACCUCAUAUGACAAAUUAUCACAUGCUCAAAAACCUUGUUCAGACUCAACUCUUGCAUUCUUCAAAACAACAAGAAUUCUACCAAGGUGAGGUGCCGAUAGCUUAAGGUGAAGAAAGAAAAUUCCUAGAAGAAAAUGAGCUAAGGGAAAAGAAAAGAAAAGCAGCAGCAUGAAGCCAACACUCCAUUUCUUUCAAAAUGGAAAAAAGGCUGAUGAACUUAUAGGUGCCGAUGUUGCACGAUUGAACUAUAUUACAGAGAAACUCUUCAAGAAGGACUGAGUUUGGUUUUCAGAGGUGGGAAUGGCUGAUGGUUGAUGAAGUACAAAAUGAUCAAACUGCAACUGCUUAAUAUUUUAUUUUUUUAAAAAAUAUUAUUCACAGUCAUCAUUUUAUUCUAUUUCAAAUUUCCAUGAGAGAAGAGAGAAUAUGCAUACAUGUUUAGGACAUGGGACAUAUGCAUUUACACGUAGAAUAUCGUUGAGCCUGAAGUUUCAAGAACUUGUGUCACUUAUUUUUACACUUAAUAAUAG